GGCUGGUCCGAUGGCAGUGGGUUAUCAGAACUUAUUAACAUUAGUGUCACUAAAGUUCGUAUACCACCACCCCCCCCCACUGCUAAAUUUGACUGGCUUUAA
ensembl:misc_RNA Y_RNA Y RNA